rnacentral:misc_RNA from 1 species
GAUGAAGGAACGCAGCGAAAUGCGAUACGUAAUGUGAAUUGCAAAUUCAGUGAAUCAUCGAGUCUUUGAACGCACAUUGCGCCCCCUGGUAUUCCGGGGGGCAUGCCUGUCCGAGCGUCAUUGCUGCCCUCAAGCACGGCUUGUGUGUUGGGCCCCGUCCUCCGAUCCCGGGGGACGGGCCCGAAAGGCAGCGGCGGCACCGCGUCCGGUCCUCGAGCGUAUGGGGCUUUGUCACCCGCUCUGUAGGCCCGGCCGGCGCUUGCCGAUCAACCCAAAUUUUUAUCCAGGUUGACCUCGGAUCAGGUAGGGAUACCCGCUGAACUUAAGCAUAUCAAUAAGCGGAGGA